GAUGAACGCUGGCGGCGUGCCUAAUACAUGCAAGUCGAGCGAACGGACGAGAAGCUUGCUUCUCUGAUGUUAGCGGCGGACGGGUGAGUAACACGUGGAUAACCUACCUAUAAGACUGGGAUAACUUCGGGAAACCGGAGCUAAUACCGGAUAAUAUUUUGAACCGCAUGGUUCAAAAGUGAAAGACGGUCUUGCUGUCACUUAUAGAUGGAUCCGCGCUGCAUUAGCUAGUUGGUAAGGUAACGGCUUACCAAGGCAACGAUGCAUAGCCGACCUGAGAGGGUGAUCGGCCACACUGGAACUGAGACACGGUCCAGACUCCUACGGGAGGCAGCAGUAGGGAAUCUUCCGCAAUGGGCGAAAGCCUGACGGAGCAACGCCGCGUGAGUGAUGAAGGUCUUCGGAUCGUAAAACUCUGUUAUUAGGGAAGAACAUAUGUGUAAGUAACUGUGCACAUCUUGACGGUACCUAAUCAGAAAGCCACGGCUAACUACGUGCCAGCAGCCGCGGUAAUACGUAGGUGGCAAGCGUUAUCCGGAAUUAUUGGGCGUAAAGCGCGCGUAGGCGGUUUUUUAAGUCUGAUGUGAAAGCCCACGGCUCAACUCGUGGAGGGUCAUUGGAAACUGGAAAACUUGAGUGCAGAAGAGGAAAGUGGAAUUCCAUGUGUAGCGGUGAAAUGCGCAGAGAUAUGGAGGAACACCAGUGGCGAAGGCGACUUUCUGGUCUGUAACUGACGCUGAUGUGCGAAAGCGUGGGGAUCAAACAGGAUUAGAUACCCUGGUAGUCCACGCCGUAAACGAUGAGUGCUAAGUGUUAGGGGGUUUCCGCCCCUUAGUGCUGCAGCUAACGCAUUAAGCACUCCGCCUGGGGAGUACGACCGCAAGGUUGAAACUCAAAGGAAUUGACGGGGACCCGCACAAGCGGUGGAGCAUGUGGUUUAAUUCGAAGCAACGCGAAGAACCUUACCAAAUCUUGACAUCCUUUGACAACUCUAGAGAUAGAGCCUUCCCCUUCGGGGGACAAAGUGACAGGUGGUGCAUGGUUGUCGUCAGCUCGUGUCGUGAGAUGUUGGGUUAAGUCCCGCAACGAGCGCAACCCUUAAGCUUAGUUGCCAUCAUUAAGUUGGGCACUCUAAGUUGACUGCCGGUGACAAACCGGAGGAAGGUGGGGAUGACGUCAAAUCAUCAUGCCCCUUAUGAUUUGGGCUACACACGUGCUACAAUGGACAAUACAAAGGGCAGCGAAACCGCGAGGUCAAGCAAAUCCCAUAAAGUUGUUCUCAGUUCGGAUUGUAGUCUGCAACUCGACUACAUGAAGCUGGAAUCGCUAGUAAUCGUAGAUCAGCAUGCUACGGUGAAUACGUUCCCGGGUCU
rnacentral:rRNA from 1 species